UGCGUAGGCGGAUUAAUAAGUCAGUGGUGAAAACCUGCAGCUUAACUGUAGACUUGCCAUUGAUACUGUUAGUCUUGAGUACGGUCAAGGUAGGCGGAAUGUGUAAUGUAGCGGUGAAAUGCUUAGAUAUUACACAGAACACCGAUUGCGAAGGCAGCUUACUGGGCCAUUACUAACGCUGAGGCACGAAAGCGUGGGGAGCGAACAGGAUUAGAUACCCUGGUAGUCC
rnacentral:rRNA from 1 species